AGAGUUUGAUCCUGGCUCAGAUUGAACGCUGGCGGAAUGCUUUACACAUGCAAGUCGAACGGCAGCACGGGUGCUUGCACCUGGUGGCGAGUGGCGAACGGGUGAGUAAUACGUAGGAACAUAUCCUGUAAUGGGGGAUAACGCACCGAAAGGUGUGCUAAUACCGCAUACGCCCUGAGGGGGAAAGCGGGGGAUCUUCGGACCUCGCGUUAUAGGAGUGGCCUACGGCUGAUUAGCUAGUUGGUGAGGUAAAGGCUCACCAAGGCGACGAUCAGUAGCUGGUCUGAGAGGAUGAUCAGCCACACUGGAACUGAGACACGGUCCAGACUCCUACGGGAGGCAGCAGUGGGGAAUUUUGGACAAUGGGGGCAACCCUGAUCCAGCCAUUCCGCGUGAGUGAAGAAGGCCUUCGGGUUGUAAAGCUCUUUCAGCAGGGAAGAAACGGUUUUAGCGAAUACCUAAGACUAAUGACGGUACCUGCAGAAGAAGCACCGGCUAACUACGUGCCAGCAGCCGCGGUAAUACGUAGGGUGCGAGCGUUAAUCGGAAUUACUGGACGUAAAGGGUGCGCAGGCGGUUUUGUAAGUCAGAUGUGAAAGCCCCGGGCUUAACCUGGGAAUUGCGUUUGAAACUACCUGGCUGGAGUUCGGGAGAGGAGAGUGGAAUUCCCGGUGUAGAGGUGAAAUUCGUAGAUAUCGGGAGGAACACCGGUGGCGAAGGCGGCUCUCUGGCCCGAUACUGACGCUGAGACGCGAAAGCGUGGGGAGCAAACAGGAUUAGAUACCCUGGGUAGUC
rnacentral:rRNA from 1 species